rnacentral:rRNA from 1 species
AGUGAACGCUGGCGGUAGGCCUAACACAUGCAAGUCGAACGGCAGCACAGGAGAGCUUGCUCUCUGGGUGGCGAGUGGCGGACGGGUGAGGAAUACAUCGGAAUCUGCCCAGUCGUGGGGGAUAACGUAGGGAAACUUACGCUAAUACCGCAUACGACCUUCGGGUGAAAGAGGGGGAUCGCAAGACCUCUCGCGAUUGGAUGAGCCGAUGUCGGAUUAGCUAGUUGGCGGGGUAAUGGCCCACCAAGGCGACGAUCCGUAGCUGGUCUGAGAGGAUGAUCAGCCACACUGGAACUGAGACACGGUCCAGACUCCUACGGGAGGCAGCAGUGGGGAAUAUUGGACAAUGGGCGCAAGCCUGAUCCAGCCAUACCGCGUGGGUGAAGAAGGCCUUCGGGUUGUAAAGCCCUUUUGUUGGGAAAGAAAUCUUUCAGGCUAAUACCCUGGGAGGAUGACGGUACCCAAAGGAUAAGCACCGGCUAACUUCGUG